rnacentral:rRNA from 1 species
GCAAGUCGUACGCUUCUUUUUCCACCGGAGCUUGCUCCACCGGAAAAAGAAGAGUGGCGAACGGGUGAGUAACACGUGGGUAACCUGCCCAUCAGAAGGGGAUAACACUUGGAAACAGGUGCUAAUACCGUAUAACAAUCGAAACCGCAUGGUUUUGAUUUGAAAGGCGCUUUCGGGUGUCGCUGAUGGAUGGACCCGCGGUGCAUUAGCUAGUUGGUGAGGUAACGGCUCACCAAGGCCACGAUGCAUAGCCGACCUGAGAGGGUGAUCGGCCACAUUGGGACUGAGACACGGCCCAAACUCCUACGGGAGGCAGCAGUAGGGAAUCUUCGGCAAUGGACGAAAGUCUGACCGAGCAACGCCGCGUGAGUGAAGAAGGUUUUCGGAUCGUAAAACUCUGUUGUUAGAGAAGAACAAGGAUGAGAGUAACUGUUCAUCCCUUGACGGUAUCUAACCAGAAAGCCACGGCUAACUACGUGCCAGCAGCCGCGGUAAUACGUAGGUGGCAAGCGUUGUCCGGAUUUAUUGGGCGUAAAGCGAGCGCAGGCGGUUUCUUAAGUCUGAUGUGAAAGCCCCCGGCUCAACCGGGGAGGGUCAUUGGAAACUGGGAGACUUGAGUGCAGAAGAGGAGAGUGGAAUUCCAUGUGUAGCGGUGAAAUGCGUAGAUAUAUGGAGGAACACCAGUGGCGAAGGCGGCUCUCUGGUCUGUAACUGACGCUGAGGCUCGAAAGCGUGGGGAGCAAACAGGAUUAGAUACCCUGGUAGUCCACGCCGUAAACGAUGAGUGCUAAGUGUUGGAGGGUUUCCGCCCUUCAGUGCUGCAGCUAACGCAUUAAGCACUCCGCCUGGGGAGUACGACCGCAAGGUUGAAACUCAAAGGAAUUGACGGGGGCCCGCACAAGCGGUGGAGCAUGUGGUUUAAUUCGAAGCAACGCGAAGAACCUUACCAGGUCUUGACAUCCUUUGACCACUCUAGAGAUAGAGCUUCCCCUUCGGGGGCAAAGUGACAGGUGGUGCAUGGUUGUCGUCAGCUCGUGUCGUGAGAUGUUGGGUUAAGUCCCGCAACGAGCGCAACCCUUAUUGUUAGUUGCCAUCAUUCAGUUGGGCACUCUAGCAAGACUGCCGGUGACAAACCGGAGGAAGGUGGGGAUGACGUCAAAUCAUCAUGCCCCUUAUGACCUGGGCUACACACGUGCUACAAUGGGAAGUACAACGAGUCGCGAAGUCGCGAGGCUAAGCUAAUCUCUUAAAGCUUCUCUCAGUUCGGAUUGUAGGCUGCAACUCGCCUACAUGAAGCCGGAAUCGCUAGUAAUCGCGGAUCAGCACGCCGCGGUGAAUAAAUUCCCGGGCCUUGUACACACCGCCCGUCACACCACGAGAGUUUGUAACACCCGAAGUCGGUGAGGUAACCUUUUGGAGCCAGCCGCCUA